rnacentral:rRNA from 1 species
UACGUAGGGGGCAAGCGUUGUCCGGAAUUAUUGGGCGUAAAGCGCGCGCAGGCGGUUUUUUAAGUCUGGUGUAUAAUCCACAGGCUCAACCCGUGUUCGCACCGGAAACUGGGAGACUGGAGUGUAGGAGAGGAAAGUGGAAUUCCACGUGUAGCGGUGAAAUGCGUAGAGAUGUGGAGGAACACCAGUGGCGAAGGCGACUUUCUGGCCUAUAACUGACGCUGAGGCGCGAAAGCGUGGGGAGCGAACAGG